rnacentral:rRNA from 1 species
CCAGACUCCUACGGGAGGCAGCAGUGGGGGAUAUUGCACAAUGGGGGGAACCCUGAUGCAGCGACGCCGCGUGGGUGAAGGAGCGUUUCGGCGCGUAAAGCCCUAUCGGCAGGGAAGAAGGAGGACGGUACCUGACUAAGAAGCCCCGGCUAACUACGUGCCAGCAGCCGCGGUAAUACGUAGGGGGCAAGCGUUAUCCGGAUUUACUGGGUGUAAAGGGGGCGCAGACGGCAGCGCAAGCCAGGAGUGAAAGCCCGGGGCCCAACCCCGGGACUGCUCUUGGAACUGCGCGGCUGGAGUACCGGAGAGGUAAGCGGAAUUCCUAGUGUAGCGGUGAAAUGCGUAGAUAUUAGGAGGAACACCAGUGGCGAAGGCGGCUUACUGGACGGUAACUGACGUUGAGGCUCGAAAGCGUGGGGAGCAAACAGGAUUAGAUACCCCUGUACC